rnacentral:rRNA from 1 species
GACGAACGCUGGCGGCGUGCUUAACACAUGCAAGUGGAGCGACGAACCGGGGCUUGCCCCGGGGCAGAGCCGCGAACGGGUGAGUAACACGUGGGUAACCCACCCCGAUGACCGGGACAACCCGAGGAAACUCGGGCUAAUACCGGAUGUGCUCCUUGACCUCGAGGUCAAGGCGUAAAGAUAGCUUCGGCCUUCGCAUCGGGACGGGCCCGCGGCCCAUUAGCUUGUUGGUGGGGUAAAGGCCUACCAAGGCGACGANGGGUAGCUGGUCUGAGAGGACGAUCAGCCACACUGGGACUGAGACACGGCCCAGACUCCUACGGGAGGCAGCAGUGGGGAAUCUUGCGCAAUGCGCGAAAGCGUGACGCAGCAACGCCGCGUGGGGGAAA